GAUGAACGCUGGCGGCGUGCCUAAUACAUGCAAGUCGAGCGAACGGACGAGAAGCUUGCUUCUCUGAUGUUAGCGGCGGACGGGUGAGUCACACGUGGAUAACCUACCUAUAAGACUGGGAUAACUUCGGGAAACCGGAGCUAAUACCGGAUAAUAUUUUGAACCGCAUGGUUCAAAAGUGAAAGACGGUCUUGCUGUCACUUAUAGAUGGAUCCGCGCUGCAUUAGCUAGUUGGUAAGGUAACGGCUUACCAAGGCAACGAUGCAUAGCCGACCUGAGAGGGUGAUCGGCCACACUGGAACUGAGACGCGGUCCAGACUCCUACGGGAGGCAGCAGUAGGGAAUCUUCCGCAAUGGGCGAAAGCCUGACGGAGCAACGCCGCGUGAGUGAUGAAGGUCUUCGGAUCGUAAAACUCUGUUAUUAGGGAAGAACAUAUGUGUAAGUAACUGUGCACAUCUUGACGGUACCUAAUCAGAAAGCCACGGCUAACUACGUG
rnacentral:rRNA from 1 species